rnacentral:lncRNA from 1 species
GUGCCAAGGAGCCCUGGUGUCUAGGAGCCCAAGUGCCCAGGUUGCACCAGUGGGGGCGCCUGUAGAAGGCCCUUGGAUUUAGCAACUCAGGUCAACUUUUAGUUCUGUUGAGCAAAGGCAAGCAGAGAUACCAGGGACUUCCUUGAAUUUUUGUGCUGAAAUAGCGUCCUUAGAGGAAAAUAUCAAAGUCCCCUGAGCUAUAAUUAAGGCAGUUGCAGAUUACAAGUAAUUACCCCAGUUUCGAGACAUCUCAGAUUGAAAAAUAACUUGUCCAAAGUUCUUUUCCAGGCCAACAGAACAGGGCAGACGGCUGAGAUGAGAUGAGCAAAACCUUCGAAUCCACAGCUCAUGUUUGAACUCCACACCACAGCAGGAAGUCCCCUCCUUACCCUGCCACCUUCCUCCACCCUUGGCACACAUCAGCCCUGUGACACUCUCACCUCUGAACCACACCUGAUUCCACUCCUUCCUCUCUGCAAGAUAAAGCCUUGGCUUGGCAUUCCGAGUUCCGCUUUCAGAAGUGGUCUCGGCCUACCUAUCCAGCUUUGCCUCUCAGGCAGCCACUCAUCGUGUGUGAACAUCCCGGCAUCUGCAGAUGCCACUGCCUUUGCUCAUGCUGGUUGCUCUGCCAGAAGUUCUCUUCUUCAGUCCCGCUUUUCAAAUUGCUGCCCAAUCCUCAAGAGCCAGCUCCAGUGUCCUGACCAGAGAAGUCUCUACCCGUGGCCUCCUCCGUCUACAGUUGUGGUGAACUCUUUGCCAAGCUGGACUUUGUUGGAUUCUGUCUGCUUGGGAUGACCAUUAUGCCUCUUUUCCUGGUGUAAUUAUUAAUACUGACUCCUUCCACCUCAAGAUGUGCUUCAGUGGAUGAAGUUAUGCAAUCAGCCGUCACCACCCCACCCUUCCCCACCCAAAAGAAACUUCAGGAGAAACCCUGCUCAUUCUU